CUUAGGCGGAGCAACGCAUACGCCUAGACACGAUUAAUGCAUAGAAAGCGGCGAGGAGGCGGCGCAAGGCAGGGCAAGGCGCGGCCCGAUAUGGAGCUCGCGCCGUUGAAAGCACGGACGGGAAGGUGCAAGAAUAUUGGGGAAGAUGGCGAGAAGAUUGCGGGGAGUUUGCUGGCGAGAGGAAAGGAGAUACUGUAUUUGGCUAGGUUUUGGAUAUAUAUAAACACAAAAGGGCGGCGGCGGCCUGAGCUAUUCCACCGUCGCUUCAUCCUCCGGCCACUGGAAGCUCAUAUGACAAGUUAAUGAGGGCCGGUCAUAUCUAGUGUCUGAAGAAGUAAAAGAGGACUGCUACCUACAGGCGACGGUUCUGAAGGAUGUUGGAGACAAAUACAACAUCAGUGUUGCUGGAAGAGAAUGCCCGUAAGAGAAAGUCGGAUGAUGUGGGAUGGGAGUAUGGGAGUCUAGCCGAUGUUUCCAACAAGGACAAAAUGAAGUGUUUGUUUUGUAACCAUGUGAUCAUUGGAGGUGUUUAUCGUCACAAGCAGCAUGUGGCUCACGUUGGUAAUUUUGUGGCUAAAUGCAAGAAAAGCUCGCAGGAAGCUAAAGAUAGGUGCAAGAAAUCUCUUGAGGAGGCAUCUAAGAAGAGGAGGGAAAAGACUUCCCGUGAGCUAGAGCUCAGAGAACACGUGAAUAUUUCUCGUGUUGGAGAUGCUUAAGUUACUUGUAUUGGAAGCGCUGAGCCACACAAGAUAGGUCCCAUUGAGAGUGGACACGUCCUAUUGAUCCUAAAUUAACUCAAGUUGUGCAUCUGUGUGGAACUAUCCCUGUUGUGACUUGAGAGAAGUCUUUCAAAAAAGAUUCUAGGAAUAAAGUACUUAUGAACUUGAGCUCAUAAUUUAUAAUGCUAUAUGCCAUAUUGGGUCUUGCGUG